GACGAACGCUGGCGGCGUGCUUAACACAUGCAAGUCGAACGGAAAGGCCCUGCUGUUGUGGCGUGCUCGAGUGGCGAACGGGUGAGUAACACGUGAGUAACCCGCGCCUGUCUGUUGGAUAACUUCAGGAAACUCGGGCUCAUACCGGAUAGGAGCUCCUGCUGCAUGGUGUUGGUUGGAAAUUUUAGGCGGUUGUGGAUGGGCGCGCUGCUUAUCAGUUGGUUGGUGUGGUUUUGGCUUACCAAGGCUUUGGCGGGUAGCCGGCCUGGGAGGGUGGACGGCCACAUGGGGACUGCGAGACGGCCCAGACUCCUACGGGAGGCAGCGGGGGGGAAUAUGGCGAAAUGGGGCGAAGCCUGAUGCGACAACUCCGGGGUCGGGAUACCGGCCUUAGGGUGUUAAACAGCUUUCGCCGGUGACGAAGCGUGAGUGACGGUACUUGGUAAAGAAGCACCGGCUAACUACGUG
rnacentral:rRNA from 1 species